AUGAGGGACUCUUAUGCACCACCA
rnacentral:siRNA from 1 species